AUAGCAGGCUCCUUUCUUCUCGGGGCUUCUAAUCUAGAUGAGAAGAUAGCGUCCACACACAGAAGGCGGUAUGCAAACCGGUCAUUGUGAACCGAGCGAUUAUAAGGGCAGAGAUUGUUGAGGGAAGAGUGGGGUGUGCACAGUUUUGCUUAAGUCUGAACUGAGGAGCCGUCUUGAUCUCUCUCUUCUGCAGGCUGAGGAGGA